UCGCAUCAGCUUCAACAACUGUUACUGUAUGGUUUGCAAUGCUGAAGAAGAGCUCGUCAUUGAGUGCAGCAUUGAUUAGCCGUAAAAGGACACUGUGUUAUGUAUGCCGGUCCGUCAGCCCAACCAGAACGCAACUGCCGGAUCCCAUGCCUGUUUUCACACCCCGCAAAAGCCAAAAAAUCACGAAGGCGGUCGCCUUCUCUUGCCACCAGCCGAGGCCCUGGGAACUUCCCGUUAACCGAAACAAUGCUCCUCGUGUGGCAGAGACGUGUCACGUUUUGCAUUUUGAUCUACACAUGUGAAACAUUGAUCAUUAUUUGCAUUUUCUGUUAACCACAUUGCCUUUCCCCAUUAACAAUUCAUAUACUGCACAUGAAGUUGGCCUUACUUCAAGCUUGUAGUGUCUUGUAAUACCAAAUGCAGGCGAAGGAAGAAGAACGAGAAGGCAAGAGAACAGAGCAAGGAAAUGUUGAAACUUCAUGGAAAGUGUCAUUGUUCCUGCAAAAUCCAUAAAAGAAAUGGAGGUAUGACCGAGUCCGUUCUAGCUCGGAUUGCUUUCUUGUAAAUGUGCUUAAUGGGUUUGAAUCGAGGCCAAUAUAUAGGAUGGGAGGGUGGGUGUUUUGCUUGAAAAACGAGAUAGAGAAAUAGUAAUAGUUUUGUGAAAUUCUGCACUGAUGUUGACCAGUUGUUAGACCAGACACAGCUUAAGGAGUGGUGUCAAAGAUAAAUCUAAAAAAGGUUGUCUCUUUUGAUCUCCUUCCUCUUCAAGUCGAAAACUUUCUUUCUUUUUUUAAAUGUUUUGUUUCAGGACAAGGCAUUUUAACGUGAAGAAAGAUGGCAGUGUAUUAAUGGCGAUUAGGGUUCUUGAAACCAUUUGCGUUUCAGGACAAGCCAAUUUGCGUUUUAGUUUUGUAACACUCAAUGCGUAAGAAUAUGGAUUUGUCGGAUUUGUGUAAUGAAAUUGAUUAUCCGUUUAUAUUGUAUAAUUGAGGAUUAGACCACC